rnacentral:rRNA from 1 species
GACGAACGCUGGCGGCGUGCCUAAUACAUGCAAGUAGAACGCACAGUUUAUACCGUAGCUUGCUACACCAUAGACUGUGAGUUGCGAACGGGUGAGUAACGCGUAGGUAACCUGCCUGGUAGCGGGGGAUAACUAUUGGAAACGAUAGCUAAUACCGCAUAAUAUUAAUUAUUGCAUGAUAAUUGAUUGAAAGAUGCAACUGCAUCACUACCAGAUGGACCUGCGUUGUAUUAGCUAGUAGGUGAGGUAACGGCUCACCUAGGCGACGAUACAUAGCCGACCUGAGAGGGUGAUCGGCCACACUGGGACUGAGACACGGCCCAGACUGCUACGAGAGGCAGAAGUAGGGAAUCUUCGGCAAUGGACGAAAGUAUGACCGAGCAACGCCGCGUGAGUGAAGAAGGUUGUCGGAUCGUAAAGAUCUGUUGUAAGAGAAGAACGGGUGUGAGAGUGGAAAGUUCACAAUGUGACGGUAUCUUACCAGAAAGGGACGGCUAACUACGUG